CCUACGGGCGGCAGCAGUAGGGAAUAUUGCUCAAUGGGGGAAACCCUGAAGCAGCAACGCCGCGUGGAGGAUGAAGGUCUUCGGAUUGUAAACUCCUUUUGUUAGAGAAGAUAAUGACGGUAUCUAACGAAUAAGCACCGGCUAACUCCGUGCCAGCAGCCGCGGUAAUACGGAGGGUGCAAGCGUUACUCGGAAUUACUGGGCGUAAAGAGCGAGUAGGCGGGAUAGCAAGUCAGAUGUGAAAUCCUAUGGCUUAACCAUAGAACUGCAUUUGAAACUGUGAUUCUAGAGUAUGGGAGAGGUAGGUGGAAUGCUUGGUGUAGGGGUAAAAUCCGUAGAGAUCAAGAAGAAUACUCAUUGCGAAGGCGACCUGCUGGAGCAUAACUGACGCUGAGGCGCGAAAGCGUGGGGAGCAAACAGGAUUAGAUACCCCGGUAGUC
rnacentral:rRNA from 1 species